UACGUAGGGUGCGAGCGUUAAUCGGAAUUACUGGGCGUAAAGCGUGCGCAGGCGGUUCGUUGUGUCGGUGGUGAAAUCCCCGGGCUUAACCUGGGAAUGGCCAUGGAAACUGGCGAACUGGAGUGCGGCAGAGGGGGGUGGAAUUCCGCGUGUAGCAGUGAAAUGCGUAGAGAUGCGGAGGAACACCGAUGGCGAAGGCGGCCUGCUGGGCAGUUGCUGACACUGAGGCGCGACAGCGUGGGGAGCAAACAGG
rnacentral:rRNA from 1 species